rnacentral:rRNA from 1 species
AGGGUGUAAACGCUGCAGACUUGGUGUUGGGAACCCUUCGGGGGUGCUCAGUGCCGGAGAGAAGUUGUUAAGUCUGCUACUUGGGGAGUACGUCCGCAAGGAUGAAACUUAAAGGAAUUGGCGGGGGAGCACCGCAACGGGAGGAGCGUGCGGUUUAAUUGGAUUCAACGCCGAAAAACUCACCAGCAGCGACUGUUACAUGAAAGUCAGGUUGAUGACUUUACUAGAUUUUCAGAGAGGUGGUGCAUGGCGUCAGUGACU